UUCGAAUCCUGACUCUGCCCUGUGUGUGCGGAGUUUACAUGUUCUCAACAUGCUUCGGGGGUUUCCUCCAGUUUCCUCCCCCAGUCCAAAGACAUCAGUUGUAGGUUGAUUGGUAUUUCUAAAUUGUCUGUAGUGCAUGAAUGUGUGUGUGUGUGUGUGUGUGAUUGUGCCCUGUGAUGGGUUGGUAGCCCGAGUUCCCUUGGAUAGGCUCCAGGCUCCCUGUAACCCUGUGUAGGAUAAGCAGUAUGGAAAACGGAUGGAUGGAUGGAGGGAUGUACAGUAUAUGAGCAAUUUAUUUUGUAAGGCAAUGCUGCCACUCUUGCAGUGGAAUUUAAUCAAUGGACACCUCUUUUCAACAUCUGAGCUGUCUGUUAUUGUGAACGCUGUGUGACCAAGACAAUACGACCGGAAGUAUCCGCUGUACUGCCGAUUGUUUACAAUGUUCCCUAUGUAGUUAAGUUUACUAUUAAUAACUUCAGGAAUGAUUACUUCACAGUUCGUACACUUUGAGGGAACACAACAGGUCAUCAUGGGGCUAUAAUGAGUAAUACUCAAAACACACACUCACAAUGAUGCGUAUUACGUAUUUCCUGCUCACGUACCAGGAAGAUACAACUAAACUCAAUAUGGCGUCCACAUGUGUAUCGGGAUUUUUUUCCACAAAUGAGAAGAUUCCUGUACAAUGUAUGGAUGACCCCUUUGGGUUCAAAGCUGAGGUGAUUUAUGGAGAUGAGUCCAUUCCUCUGUAUCGGUGUACCCCAUUUCUCACCGUCCAUAGUAGGCAGCACAUGCCCACUGUCUACGGCAAUGAAAGCUCUGGUGCUGAAGUUGAGGAUACCCACAUCUUUGAAUCACUUCAUACAGCUGAAUCAAGACAUCAAAUGCAGGACAUGUCAAGUGCUGAUGACCGUAGACAACCUAAUGCCAGACCACGUCCUGUCUGGCCCGAGGACACUGAUGCUCACUACAGUCGCAAUCAUCUAACCUUUACUGAUGGUGGCUUUCCACUAACCAUGGCUAUGGGUGGAAUGGGAAACUACAAGCCUCAGCAGAUAGAGAGUCUUGUACUGCCGGAGGAGGAAGAAUGGGACAAGAAUCCAAGAACAAGGAUGAAAAAAGGGGGGAAAAGAGGAGGGAAAAAAUCCCGUAGAAAGCAACGGCAAUAUUGACGAAAUAUGGAAAAUGCACUUAAUGCACUUGUAUAAUGCAUUAAUACUUUAACUAGCUUUUUCUAUAGUGUAGACUAUGCUGUUCCUUUAUAGUCCAAACUUUAUAGUCCAGAGUCGUUUAUGUGCAUUUCUUCUGUGUCUUUUUUAUGUAUGUAAACUGCACAAAAUAGAGAUCAGAUGACGCAACAAACUGCAAACAAAAUUGACUUGAAAAAGACUGGUGUAGGUUCUCAUCUACCAGAAUAUACCUGUACUCCAGCAGAAGAAACCAGUACUGCCCUUCAUAGUGUGGUCCAGGGUGCUCAAUACUCUUAACCAUGUCUCUGGCAACGCCAUCCAUUUAACUCAAAUGUUUGUGUUUGGUGGAUGAGAAUAACUGUGCUAAAUGUACCUUUUCAAUCACACACAAGAUUCCAUUUGCUGAGCAAGUAUUAAACAAGGCUAGUGUAAUGAACAUGCAACAGAAAGGAGAUCAUUCUAGAAACUUCACUUAAAAAAAACCAAGGUAACCAAAAUUCUCAUUUCUCAAGAUACAGAGUCAACAGUUUCUAUUAAACUGUCAGAGUCAGUCAUUCCUAUAACAUUCUUAUUGUCAUUUCUUUGCAUACUUGUUCAUUUCAAGUUUAUGUUCAAGUGCUCCAUAGAUUUCAAUAGUGCAUUUGCUAGCGACAUUGCUGUAUUUGCAAUCUGUAUUGCUGACAUCUGUUACCUAAGCAAAUAAAACAACAGCACUUGACAACAAGGACUGAAUAAAACAAAAGAAAGGAUUCCCCCAAGGGGAAACACUGAGAAAAAGAUGACAAGGAUGUGUUAAAAAGAAUACUGAAACUCACCCAUUAGCCAUAACCAUAGUAGUUGAAGUCUUGUAGUUGCAUCUUGUGAUUUCCUG
ensembl:lncRNA